UACGUAGGGUGCAAGCGUUGUCCGGAAUUAUUGGGCGUAAAGAGCUUGUAGGCGGUUUGUCGCGUCUGCUGUGAAAUUUCGGGGCUCAACCCCGAACUUGCAGUGGGUACGGGCAGACUAGAGUGUGGUAGGGGAGACUGGAAUUCCUGGUGUAGCGGUGAAAUGCGUAGAUAUCAGGAGGAACACCGGUGGCGAAGGCGGCUCUCUGGACGGUGACUGACGCUGAGACGCGAAAAGCGUGGGGAGCAAACAGG
rnacentral:rRNA from 1 species